GACCGGCGCACGGGUGAGUAACGCGUAUGCAACCUGCCUACUACAGGAGAAUAACCCGGAGAAAUUCGGACUAAUACUCCAUAAUACAGGGGUCCCGCAUGGGAAUAUUUGUUAAAGAUUUAUCGGUAGUAGAUGGGCAUGCGUGCCAUUAGCUAGUUGGUGAGGUAACGGCUCACCAAGGCAACGAUGGCUAGGGGAACUGAGAGGUUUAUCCCCCACACUGGAACUGAGACACGGACCAG
rnacentral:rRNA from 1 species